UACGUAGGGGGCAAGCGUUGUCCGGAUUUAUUGGGCGUAAAGAGCGUGUAGGCGGCUAGAUAGGUCCGUUGUGAAAACUCGAGGCUCAACCUCGAGACGUCGAUGGAAACCAUCUGGCUAGAGUCCGGAAGAGGAGAGUGGAAUUCCUGGUGUAGCGGUGAAAUGCGCAGAUAUCAGGAAGAACACCGGUGGCGAAGGCGGCUUUCUGGUACGUAACUGACGCUGAGACGCGAAAGCGUGGGGAGCAAACAGG
rnacentral:rRNA from 1 species